AGUUGUUUACUGAAAUCAAAUUUGUUUUGAAAGCAAAUUAUGAGGGUUUAAAUCCCUCAACAACUU
rnacentral:tRNA from 2 species